rnacentral:rRNA from 1 species
AUUGAACGCUGGCGGCAGGCCUAACACAUGCAAGUCGAACGAGUGGCGGACGGGUGAGUAAUGUCUGGGAAACUGCCCGAUGGAGGGGGAUAACUACUGGAAACGGUAGCUAAUACCGCAUACCAUCGGAUGUGCCCAGAUGGGAUUAGCUAGUAGGGGGGGUAACGGCUCACCUAGGCGACGAUCCCUAGCUGGGCUGAGAGGAUGACCCGCCACACUGGAACUGAGACAUGGUCCAGACUCCUACGGGAGGAAGCAGUGGGGAAUAUUGCACAAGGGGCGCAAGCCUGAUGCAGCCAUGCCGCGUGUAUGAAGAAGGCCUUCGGGUUGUAAAGGACUUUCGGCGGGGAGGCGGUACUCGCAGAAGAAGCACCGGCUAACUCCGUGCCAGCAGCCGCGGUAAUAC